rnacentral:rRNA from 1 species
UACCAGCACCCCGAGUGGUCGGGACGAUUAUUGGGCCUAAAGCAUCCGUAGCCGGUUCUGCAAGUCCCCCGUUAAAUCCAGCUGCUCAACAGAUGGGCCGCGGAGGAUACUACAGAGCUAGGAGGCAGGAGAGGCAAGCGGUACUCAGUGGGUAGGGGUAAAAUCCGUUGAUCCAUUGAAGACCACCAGUGGCGAAGGCGGCUUGCCAGAAUGCGCUCGACGGUGAGGGAUGAAAGCUGGGGGGAGCAACACGG